rnacentral:tRNA from 1 species
AGUAAAGUCAGCUAAACAAGCUCUUGGGCCCAUACCCCUAAUAUGUCGGUUAAAAAUCCUUCCUUUGCUA